rfam:Ictidomys tridecemlineatus contig014927, whole genome shotgun sequence.
GAAGUUGUAGCUCAGUGGUAGAGAGUUUGCCUCGCACGUAUGAGGCCCUGAGUUUGAUCCUCAGCACCACUU